rnacentral:rRNA from 1 species
CAGUCGCCGCGGUAAUACAGAGGGUGCGAGCGUUAAUCGGAUUUACUGGGCGUAAAGCGUGCGUAGGCGGCUUCUUAAGUCGGAUGUGAAAUCCCUGAGCUUAACUUAGGAAUUGCAUUCGAUACUAGGAAGCUAGAGUAUGGGAGAGGAUGGUAGAAUUCCAGGUGUAGCGGUGAAAUGCGUAGAGAUCUGGAGGAAUACCGAUGGCGAAGGCAGCCAUCUGGCCUAAUACUGACGCUGAGGUACGAAAGCAUGGGGAGCAAACAGGAUUAGAUACCCGUGUAGUCCCUGUCUCUUAUAC